rnacentral:tRNA from 1 species
GGCCUGCGAGCUCAGUCGGUUAGAGCGUCGUACUAAUAACGCGAAGGUCGUAGGUUCGAUCCCUGCGCAGGCCA